CUUGAGCGACCCCAGCCAGAGCGGCCGGCUCUCCGGUCGGCCGCGGCCGUAGACGGCGAUGAGCGCCUGGGCCUC
rnacentral:antisense_RNA from 1 species